GCUCUUUGCCAACAUUCUGGGUUGCUUUUCAGACAGAAGCACUCGCACCUCUGAACUUCCUGGGUAGGAAGCUCCACGUUGGAUCUGGCAAGAUUGGGAGAGAGACCAUGUCUUCAGCUUCAAAGAUCCGCCAUAGAUCAGAGCCAAUGCCGGAGAUCAUGGUGAAAAUCAUUGGAAGUAAAUAUUUUCGAUACCUUGUGGAAAAGCCAAAGAUCAAUCAGAGUGAAAAGUCGAAGACAGAACCUCAAACCACACUCCAGAAAUCCCAGCCUGAUUAUGCAAGGCAGGUGAGCAGAGACCUGCCAGGACCCUCCGACCCUUCUGAUCAGAAAAUCACUUCUAACCCUGCUGAGAAGGAAGACAGCAAGCACCCAGGCAGCAGUCAGAAACCAGAGAACAACCAAAAAUUCUUAACAGGAGUACCCAGGAACAGAUUCCUGGACGGCAGGACUUCCCAUGAGGCAAACGUCUACUGCAGCUCUGUACCAACUGGAGACCAGUCUUUAUCCUAUAUGCACUAUCUCCCCAGAAGAAAAUCUAGAGACUGCUCUUUGGAACAUAUAACCAAGGAGAGAAUUGGCCAGCCUGAGGAAAUUGUUCAAAGGCCAAGAGAAGAUGCUUUUCUCCUCGCUUUGGUCAGAAAAGAACUCAAGUCAUACCCAUUGAGCUCCAGUCUGUGGGACAAACUUCUGAAAGAGUUGAAGACUCUGGAUCCCAUCUCGUCAGGGUUUCUCCUCCAGUCACAGCUGAGCCGCCUCUUCCUAAGGCUUGAAGUCCCUCUACAGUUACCAACAGUCAAGCUACUCUGCCAAAGAUUUUCUAGAAGGGAUUCUUCUGAAAUGGUGAAUUACGGAGAGCUACUUCAGUUUUUAAAAGGGGCAAGUUCAGACCAUUUGCAGAAAAAUGGAACUGCUGUAUACCCUAACCCAAGGAAAACUCCAAAUCAAAGCGACAACAGACAAAGCAGCACACCCCCUCAACGUUCUGGCUUACUGGCUGAAGUGAACAAGAGCUUGCUGGAGAUUUUGAAGAUGGCCCUAAGAACAUGCCAAGGCAGAGUCAACGUAGACAACCUCAAUCUGAGCCUUCGCAAAGAAGAUCGGUCAUUCUCUGGCUGCCUUCCCCUGUCCAAGGUCAGAGCUAUAUGUGGCAAACAUGGAUUGUAUCUAACCUUGACCCUGCUGGAAACAUUGCUUAACCACCAAGAUUUGGGUUACCAAGGUGAAAUAAAGUGGCAGAAUUUUGUUAAGUGGCUGAAAAGGGCUUCUUCUGAUCUGUUGUGUGAUUCGCCUACAGGAAAAAAUGAAAGGAAAACCCCAGGGGCCUUGGUCGAAGUCCCUGAGAGACCCCAAAGCAAAACUGAACAUGUGAAAACUCCAGAAGAGAAACUCUGGCCGGAAAACCCUACCACUAUGAUUUCAGCCUCACAAGAACCAGUGAACUCCUUUAAGAAAAGUCCAGUCUCUCAGCCUGAUUUGAGACCAGCCAUGAUAAAGGAGGCUGAACAACCUGAGCUGUGGAUAGACAGGUUCAGAAAGCUGGAAAACACCCUCUACUUAUGUGACCUGAGCAACACAGCUUAUCAGGAAACCACCGUUCUGCUGAGAGAGAAGUCAAGCAAGCAACAACACAAGAGUAAGUCCUAUGAAGAGAGCAAGCAGGGCUUCAGCAAAUCAGACACCAUCAAGGCCCACCACGGAUUGAGUUGAGAAGUGGAGGCUGCAUAAAUGUUGCUCACCAGACAAAGGAACCUAGUCCUGAGUUGUGGGAACAGCUUGUGCCAAACCAAGACGGGAGACAGACCAGACGCAGCCUGUUUGUGAGGCUGCAGGUGUUAAGUACUGCAGAAGACAAGCGAGCAGUUUGGGUGAAAUGGGUGAUCACCCUGCAGAGGUCCGGAAGCGAGCAGGAACUGACCACCGCUGCUGUUUCCUGUGCCAGUCAAUGAAAAUGCAUACGUCACUUAACCCCCUGCCCUGCUGCUGGUAAAUUCUCACCGACAGCCCACUCCAGACACAGUGUUCUUCCAGCUGUGUUAAGGAGGUAAGGAGAAGGCAAGUGUGAGCAUCCGGGUCAAAGAUUCUAACCAAAGAGAUGCUUCCUUCCGUCGCUGCCUCAUAGAAUCUGGAAACUGGAUCAGUGAGCAACCAUGUGAGAGCAAGGAAAGAGCCCUGAGGCAGUGUAGCCCAAGGCGAGAGAGCAGCUUGAGUCACCACCUCAGGGCUGGAUAGAUUCAUAAAUGCAAAUGGUAACCCCACAAUCCUGCUUAGGCUAAUGUCUGGGAGCGUUUUUCCUGGAAAACCCACUGGGAAUCACUGGGCAAGCUCCUCUAAGAGCGCCCCUUUUCAGAGAGUGUUGAGGUGAGACUGUCCCCAGGUGCAUUCCAGCUGGAUCCAAAUCCUGUGAGACUCAGGAAACAGCAGUCUCAUGACCAAACUUUUCUAGCAGAGUUGGAAAGCAUCCAAUCCUUGUUCAGCACCAACCAUCCCCCAUACACUUGGUAUUGAUACCAUGGCUUUCUUCCUUCUUGGUAACAGGCCAGUCUUCAACCUACCAAGAUUGGGCACACCAUGGAGUUACUUCUGUUGCCAUCACUUUGCGAGAAGAACCAAGGGAUCUGAUAGGCAGGAAUCACACUCUGAAGUGACAAUUGACUUACCCUCAUACCCAGGGUUAUAAGCUUUCCCUAAUUAAACCUGGCUAAGCAUGCUGUUGAGCUGCUGAGCAGCAGCCAUGAUUGAAGCACCUGCAGCCACAUGCUCAACACAAAGAAAAGGUAGAAUGGCUGUCUUAGUAAUCCUCAAGCUGCAGCAUCCCUAGUGAAACCAUUUAUACCCAUCUGAUGUCACUAUUGAUGGUGUCAUGUGACAUGUAGUUCACAUGACACCACCCACCACACCACAAUGAUAGCCAGCUGGGAUGCUGCCUUUGCUGAGCUUCCCCAUGGAGGAAUGCCCUAGAAUCAAAGUUAAAAGCCUUCUCUGUUGUUUAGGCUGUGGCCCUUCCCCUGUCUCUCCUCUCAGGAACCCUAUCUCCUACAAGCACUCUAGUAGCUAGCCUCUCCUGGGAGGGUCCAGUUGCUUGUACUGAGGGAAAACAGACCAAUAAGGGAUGUAACAGGUGAAGUAGGGGUCAGCAAACAGAUAGGAGACAAGAAUGGAGACCAGUAUCAGGGAAGGCAAGGAAGGGGGGAGGGAUGAAGAAAACACAAUGUCAUAACAAGUCUAAAUAGUUUCAUUUGUCUUAAUUAAGAUAAUUCCAUCUUAUGUUUGGUAACUUGAAAUCUUCAUUGAGCAAAAUCUUUUUUUGAGGAAUAAAAAUAGCAGGCACCACCACAAACUUUCUAUUGAGAGUUGAAAUAUCUAUUUCAAGUAAGCAAUUUCUAUUGACACUCCCACAUCACUAUUUCACCUCUGUCAUCUUUAACACUAUUAUCGAUACAUGGAGAUCCAACAUGGAAUGGUCUGAAUGCCUUUCAUAUCCCAUUUGUUCAGGAAAAAAAAAAACAGAAUAAAGAAAAAAACAGAAUAAAGACCUUGUACAAGAAACUAAGAUAAGACAAUCCAGGGACUUCUUGGGAAUUCAAGACAGACCUGCCUGGGCUGGUUGACUGCCCAAUAUCUUGACAUUUCAUAUAUUGAAUAUAUUGUAGAUUUUUGUAUAUUGAGUUUUUGUACAUUGAAUAUUUUUUCUCAUUUUCCCUCAAGACAAAAUGACUAAAUUAUAGGUGUCUAGAAAUAUUUUCCAGUUUUAUUUAAAAGGUUACUAUUCAUGGCUUAAAAUACCGUAAUCCUGCUAUGCCCACACCCAGUACCUACCUCCUCUUCUCAUGUGAUGGAAAUGUGAAAGGAACUUUAUCCAAGACUUAGACGUGGGAGGUAGGUACUCUACUGAGUAUGUUGCCCAUCCCAUUCAAACUCAGAUCCCAGAUCAUCCCAAAUUGCCCACAGAUACAUGCCCAAAGACUUCAAACACAAAGCCAGAAACAUCUGCAGGAGGCAGAUAACAAGACAGGUCCAACAAGCAGAGACUGUGUGCCCAGCCCACCUGAAUGCCCUGUGUCACAGAAUCCCUUUCCCUGCUGCUUGAGGGCAGGCCGCAAUAAUUCAUCUUAUGGGUUAUUUUCUUCUUUAAUGAAAAGGCUGGCUCUUAAAGCCCCAUCUUCUUUCAGCCUUCAGCUCACACUCAGCUAAGCUCUGCUAAACACUCUUUGGGUAGAAACAGCUCCUUUCCAAAGAGGAAAUUGUAUGUGUAUCUGUGUAAAGCUCCUUUGAGAGGUUUGCAUAAACUGCUUGUAAUUACGUGGCUGGCCUAUCCCAUGCCUGGCUUUGUGGUGCCUCCAGCCAGAGUUUUCUUUUGUGGUUAGUUCAGCUCAUUCUUAAAACUCCUGUAGGCUUUUGAAUCUGGAUUUCUCAACCUGAACGAUAAACUGCAUCUUCUCAAAGGCUAGCUAGUUCAGAGGUGGAAGCCAAGGUCAUAUUUCAAAGAAAGAAUAAAAGGGGGAAGGUUUUUGAUUGGUAUGUGGAACAAUUUCGUCCAAAGACCUAAGUUUCGAUAUAUACAAUAGCUUGAGACAUAAAGGCUACAACGAUAUGAUAAACAACCACCCAAUAAAGCAAUCAAAGGUGCUUGGUUAGGUGAUAUGGAUGAAAAUGUAUGUUUUGUACCUUUUUCUCUUUAAUCUGAACUCAGACAAACUGAUUGAUAAGUGAAGACAGUGAGGGAGAGCCUUCAUCUCCUAUUCCUGCUAACCUUUUUGUAAAGAUGUUUAAAGAUGUGCAGCCCAUUUGGACUUUCAGUCAGCCCCAUCUGCAUUGUUUCUAGUGAAGCCUACUAGAACACACCUAGAGGAUUUGUUACCUUUCCAGCUGAUGCGUUAAAUUCCACGUGGCAUUUGGCAAAACCAGUGUAAUAAAACAGAAAAAAAACAGCUUUGGAGUUAAAUUGAUCUGUUCCUAGUUCUGUCAUUAACAACUACACAUCUCCUUGAUCUUCAGUUUCUACAUCUGCAAACCUGGAACAGUAAAGUAAGAAAUAUCUGCAGCAUGGGGCUGCAAUGAUAAUUCAGUUAAAUGAGGCAAUAAACAAGUUUAGACUGCCUGGAAUAGAUCAAGUUUUGCAUAUGCAUUUCCAGAAAAGUAUAUAAGGAAUGCUCAGGCCUGGGAAAUGAGGAAACUUGGUGGCAUGCAGGCAGACAUGGUGCUGAAGAGGAGCCGAGAGUUCUACAUCUGGAUCUACAGGCAACAGGAAGAGACUGUGAGCCACUAAGCCUGGUUUGAGCUUCUGAGACCUCAGUGCCUGCCCCCAGUGACACACUUCCUCCAGCAAAGUCACAACCACUCCAAGAAGGUCACCUCUCCUAAUAGUGCCAUUCCCUGUAGACCUACAGAGGGGACCAUUUUAUUCAAAUCACCAGAUCUUAUUUUCUCCAUCUAUGGUGAUCGAAAGUUUUGAUGCAUGCAGUAGUUUGGAAUGGCAUCUGUAGUCUCUAAGAUUCUGUACCACAACACUUCAGGCCUUCUCCCUGUUAGAGUCUCCAUUGAGAAGUCUAGUGUAAUGCUAAUAGAUCUGCAUUGAUAUGAUAUUUGGUCUUUUCUCUUGCAACUUUUAAUAUUCUUUGUUUGUUCUGUUUGCUUAGUGUUUUCAUUGCCUAUUUCUAUAAUUUUAGGAAUUUCAAAGUUGUUGACAACAGGUGUGGCUACAAAACAAGGUAUUCUGACGUAGGGUGUGGUUACUUGGUGUUUUGGAAAGGAAGAUGGCCCAUAGAGGUGGAACCGCUGCACCCUGAACAAAGAUCAAAGAAGUCAAGCAUACUCCUGUGCUCCUUCACUUAAAAUAAGAGGUUUGACAUAGGGAGUGACUGCCUGCAGGGUACUUGGUCUAGGGUGUGUUCACUGUCCUCAACAUCAAAUGCUUUACUCAGAAAAUAAUGGUUUGAUGCCUCAGCUAUUAAAACAAGUACCUCUCCUGUUGUUCUUUGUGUCAUGUUAAAGUAGUCUUUUACCGUUUUCCUCCUCUUUUGUAUUGAGGUGUAAAAACAUACAAAAAAUAUAAAUAAACAUGGGCAAACUCAGAACCCAAAAUGCGGCAUUCAGUAUCUCCUGAGCUGCUCUCUCAGUACUGUCCUAUGUCUCUGUGUUUCUUAUCUCUGUCCUGCCUACCUAGCAUAUCUAAUCCUCAUGCCCCUAUUGUAGAGCGUACAAACCUGCCUCGACUGGACUAUGGCAGAAGUCACCCCAAAAGGUGGCUUAUGACAGCUGUACUUAUGUCUGUACCUUAUCCAGUCAUCAUCAAAGAGGCUUCCUCUGGUAGUGUUUAAGAAGAGGUGCAAAGGCACACUAUUGGCUUUGCCAGACUGUGGCUAGGAAACUACUCUGUCUUGAUAACUUCUAGGAGGACCCUUCAUGUGGAGAAAAAUGAGGCAACCACAGACUUGCCAGUUGGGAGAGCAUUUAUGGUGAGCCAUUAUGGCUCUCCCAGGGGCUAGUUUUAACCUUUUUUGAUUCUUUUUGCCCAAAUGAACUACUAGAAUAGACCAGAAGUGAAUACAUACCUAUGACAGGAUGAGAAAAAAAAUGAAAACUGAAGAUAUAACUACUAUGAUGUUAUUUAUAAGCUAGAUAAUUUUUAUUCAACUAUUUGCUGACUUUGACUCUUUAUUUUUUUUAAUUUGUUUAUUUUACAUCCUGAUUGCAGCCUCCCCUCCAUCCUCUCCUCCAACUCCUUCCUCUCCACCUCUCCUCCUCCCCUAGCCACCCUUUCUCCAUAUUUUCUCAGAAAGGGGCAGGCCUCCCAUGGGUAUGAGGAAAGCACAUAUUAACAAGAUGCCUUAAGAUCAUGUACUUCUCCCUGGGCAUGGCAAUCCAGCAUAAGGAAUAGGUGACCAAGAGCCAGUCAAAGGCCUGCUCUCAUUGCCAUGAAUCUCAUAAAUACUUUGACUCUUAUAAGUACUUUGUUUAUGAAAUGGAUCACCAUUCUCUGUCCCCUUUAGAUGAAAAGAUAUGUCACUGGGUCCAUUAGAGUGAUUUGUCCAGAGAUAACAUGGAGAUAAUAGUUGUCUAGGAAUUACAUACAAUUUCAUUGGUCUCCAUCUUUCUUCUAUUGCCUUCAUCCUGUCCCCCCCCCAAAGUAAGCAGGCCCCAGCAUCUUCAGAGCAUAUGUCAGUUCUUCUUCCAUUCUCUUUACACCUCAGACAUCACAGUCUAGAGAUAGCGCAGAUGCUAUAGUAGACUGGGGAAAGGGUGUGGCCCAUUCUGAACUUUGCACUCAGCUUCUCAUCGAUUGGGGACUUGAAGAUAAAGUUUUGCAUGAAAGCAGUAAAGAAAAUGAACAGCUCAGAUAUGGUCAGUUUUCCAGGGCAAGCUUGCGUUCUUGUGGUACCAAAACAGAAGACCAGUCAUUUUCUCAGCUCAUAUUCCUGGCUCCAAGGAUUGAUAAGCACCUCAUUCAAGUCCUGAGUUGACCCUGAAAUUUUUAUUCAAUUACUCAUUUAUCUGCAAUGGGUCUACAAAAGGUAUCUGCCUGGGAUCCCUCAGAGCACAGAAUCUGGAAGUCCUAAGUCAAAAGUCAAAUGUCCCUCCCUUCAUGGGCAGGGAGCUUUUGGUGAGAGCAGUGUACAGGAUGCUAGAAAUAAGAAUCGUGGCUGACUGAGAAAGCUUAAGAGCUUUCAUAUCUCAGUCAACCAACAUCACUGAUACAACAGACCAUGAUUUGGUGGCAAGAUUUCUGAUGUUUUUUUUAAUACAUACAAUGAAAUACAAAUAAGUGUGUCAGCAAAGUGUGCCUAAAGUGAAAGUCAUCUUUUUCCUAUGAGAAAGAGAAAGAAAGGCAUCCUCUUCCACCUUGAUUUAUGUGAGUGACCUUGAUCAUCCUUUCUCCAGUAUGGACCUAAAAGGGGAACUGAAGAGAGGAAACAGAGGCAUUGCAGGGGCUGAGCCAUGGGUGAAUGUAGAAAUUCAAUUAUUUACCUGACGUCUCCUUGGAACAGAGUAAACCACAUUAGCUGAUCCCCAUUGAUGUAAAAGCUAGAACUGUCCCCCAGACAGGCUAGGGAAUGCAGAUGGGAAUAAGAACAAUCCUACCCCAAGGAUUAUCUAAAUAUGCUAUUAUAAAAAGGCCAUAAAGAUAUUACAGUCAUACCCAGCACUUUCAACCUCUUGAUGUGUCCAGUAUGUAAAUACUGUAUAUUUACAAUUGAAUGUACCUUAAAAUCAUGGCCAUCAAUAAUUGGUUGUUUUAAUUGUUUCGCAGAGUUGCUAGAGUUAGUCCUAUUCACCCGCAGUAAUGACCAGCUUUGCUAGUACGACAAUCUUUAUUGACUUCCCUUUCUUUCACUUUUGCACUUUCUUGGCAAUGUUUGCCAAAAUUGUUUCCCUCAAAUCCCUCUCUGGAGGCUCUGUAUCUCCAGGUUUGUUUUGGGAGACAUCUGAAACAAAACAUUUGUGACUUCAAUGGGUGCAUACUUUUGGAGAAAGUGAGGCUAUAAAAUGUAAUCAUUUCAAGUAUUUUCCUAAAUGGAGAGAAUAACAAAGAAACAUGGAGUUGGAUUUUUUUACAUGUUUGAUAAUACUAAGCAUGCUUACAGAUUUGUAAAAACGUUUCAACAAUUUUAGAGAUAUUAAUAAUGAUGCAAACGAUGAGGUACCUAACUGCAGAGAGAAAUUCGUGAGAUGGUGUGAGAGAUGUAUGCAGAGAGGGAGCAAUCUCUUUAGGAACAGGAUCCAGUGGGUAGGAAGAGAGCCCACUAUCAGAAUAAGUCUUAUAAAAUCAGUAAAGUCAAAGCUUAGCUGAUAAGCAUGUGAAUUAACUUGGAAAGCAUAUUAGAGUAAGACAAGAAAGAUUGGUUUAAUGGAAACAUUAGACCACCUGGUAUAGAAAUCAAGGUUGCUGAGGGAAUGAGAUCAAGCAAGUAAGUAUUGUAUGAGAAAGUUAUGAUUUUUGUAAUAUUGAGUAGAAUGAAAAAAGUAGUUGUGGGAAUAAAGAAAGCAAACAGGAUGUCAAUGAGCAAGGGUGACAGACACUACCUGUAUUACCAGUGGGUUAGAGAGGACUGUGCCUCACAGCAACUUUAGCAUUGUAAAAGAGAGAAAUCAAAGGGUGAAGAGGCAUAGACCACUAUCUGUUUAGAUUCUGGUUAUGCUCAGUGUGGUGGUUUGAAACAAAAUGCCCUCACAAAGUAAGUGGCACUAUUAGAAGGUGUGGCUUUUCUGGGGGUAGGUAUGGUCUUGUUGGAGGAAGUGUGUCACUGUGGAGGUGGGCUUUGAAGGCUCUUUUGCUCAAUCUUCACUCAGUAUGACACUUAGACCAUUUCCUCUUGCCUACAAGAUGUAGGACUCUCAGUUCCUACUCCAGAACCAUGUCUUCCUGCAUACUGGUAUAUGCUUUCUGUGAUCAUAAUGGACUGAACCUCUGAGACUGUUAAAUGUUAUCCUUAGAAGAGUUGCUGUGGUCAUAAGGACUCUUCACAGCAACAGAAACUCUAACUAAGACAGAAUUUAGUACUGGGGAAUGGAGUAUUGUUGUGAUAGACCUGACCAUGUUUUUGUUUGGAGGAAUUUGGACUUUGGUACCUUGGGCUAGGAAGGCAGUAGAAUGUUUUAAGCCCUGCUUAAUGGGCCAUACUAGUAAGAACAUGGAAGACAAUGAUGCUGAGAAUGAUUUGAACUGUGGGGAUCAAGAUGUUUUAAAGUAGAAUUUGAUAUGUUGCCUAGAGAUGGUUCUUGUUGCCCUUUUCUGAAAAGUUUGCCUGAGGCUAUAGUGAAGAGUUGUCUUGGCAGAAGAAAUAUCAAAAGAGCCUAGUAAUACUCUGUCAUUGGUUACUAGUGGUAACUCUAAUGAAGAUUUAUAAUGAAAGGGAGCAAGCUAAGCAGGGUAAAUUACAAAAUGUAAAAUUUGAGAAAAGAUGCGUGAGGAAGUGGAAUAGUGGUAAAUGCUAUGUUUAAGAAGAUAAAUGGAAAAAGAAAUGGAAUAAAGGGAGUGGUGACCUCAGGACAAGAUCCCACUGAGGUAAGUUUCCAACUUAUAAAAAGGAAUUAAAGCAAAGCAGGUGUAAUGUUGCAAGCCUUUAAUCCCAGCACUCAAGAGGCAGAGAUCUCUGAGUUUGAGGCCAGCCUGGUCUACAAGGAAGUUCAAGGACAGUCAAACUUAGUCGGUAAAGACAACAAUCAAUUAAGAUAUGUGCUUCCCUGCUCCCCUAUCCAACCUUCCUUUAUCCCAAACAUCCCGUUUCCCAAGUUCCCCCCAACCUCCCCUUCUCACUUUUCUCUCCCCAUCUCCCCUUACCCCCUCCCACCCCACCCCCAAGAUCCCAUUUUUUGCCCGGCAAUCUUAUCUACUUCCCAUAAUCAGGAGGAAAGCUAUAUGUUUUUCUUUGGGAUCACCUUCUUAUUUAGCUUCUUUAGGAGAUCAAAUUGUAGACUCACUGACCUUUAUUUAUCUCUAGAAACCAAUUAUGAGUGAGUACAUCCCAUGUUCAUCUUUUUGGGUCUGGGUUACCUCACUCAGGAUAGUGUUUUCUAUUUCCAUCCAUUUGCAUGCAAAAUUCGAGAAGUCAUUGUUUUUUACCGCUGAGUAGUAUUCUAAUGUGUAUA